UGGGGAAUAUUGCACAAUGGGCGCAAGCCUGAUGCAGCCAUGCCGCGUGUAUGAAGAAGGCCUUCGGGUUGUAAAGUACUUUCAGCGGGGAGGAAGGGAGUAAAGUUAAUACCUUUGCUCAUUGACGUUACCCGCAGAAGAAGCACCGGCUAACUCCGUGCCAGCAGCCGCGGUAAUACGGAGGGUGCAAGCGUUAAUCGGAAUUACUGGGCGUAAAGCGCACGCAGGCGGUUUGUUAAGUCAGAUGUGAAAUCCUCGGGCUCAACCUGGGAACUGCAUCUAAUACUGGCAAGCUUGAGUCUCGUAGAGGGGGGUAGAAUUCCAGGUGUAGCGGUGAAAUGCGUAGAGAUCUGGAGGAAUACCGGUGGCGAAGGCGGCCCCCUGGACAAAGACUGACGCUCAGGUGCGAAAGCGUGGGGAGCAAACAGG
rnacentral:rRNA from 1 species